rnacentral:rRNA from 1 species
ACGUAGGGGGCAAGCGUUGUUCGGAAUUACUGGGCGUAAAGGGUGCGCAGGCGGUUUUGCAAGUCAGAUGUGAAAGCCCCGGGCUUAACCUGGGAAUUGCGUUUGAAACUACAAGGCUAGAGUGCAGCAGAGGGGAGUGGAAUUCCAUGUGUAGCAGUGAAAUGCGUAGAGAUGUGGAAGAACACCGAUGGCGAAGGCAGCUCCCUGGGUUGACACUGACGCUCAUGCACGAAAGCGUGGGGAGCAAACAGG